GUCACGAUAAAUGUAUUUAUUCACAAUUUAUAUUGUAUAUAACUAUAGUUAAACGUAUUUUACCGUAGUAUAUUCGUAUAAUUAAUAAUAUAAAAUAUUAAUUACUUUAUAAAUAUGUAUAUAAAUAUAUAGUAAGGUUUAUUACAAAUAUUAGGAACUAAACGAAAACGCAACGUUUCAUAUAACAUGCGUACAUAAUAUUAUAUUGAUACCUAUGUAAGUUCAUUGGAGAAUAAACAAUUGUUUAUUCGAUUUGGAGUGCGUAUAUUUUUGACGUUUAGAUUUGAACGACAAGAUAGUUGGGUACACUGCACAUCAUACAUCUCAUCGUACAUCGUGAAAAUCCGACAAUAUAUUGGGUGUUCCAAAUUCCAUGUUAAAAUUAAAUAUUCCAUGAAGUACAUAUUUAUUCAAAAAAAUGAUUUAAAUAUUCCAUUUUUAAGUACGAACAAGGGAAGUGUAGUGGAGCAUCAUUGGUGUAGCAACUCAGCGCAAAGCGUUUGAACAGUACUCCGUUACUCUCCCCUUACCUUCUCUGAUUGACGGAAAUCAAAAAUGUCAACAUCAAAAUGUAUUUAAACUAAUUCCCUGUCUAUUUAUAGAAUUUUUAAGUUAUUUAUAGGUUAUUAAUUUGAAAAUCAAAAAUAGGUAGCUUAUUCAAACCCAGAAACAAAGACAAUAUACAAUUUUAGAGUAUAUGAUUAUAUAAAGUUUUUAAAUGAGUAUUUAUUGUGAACAUGAGUAAUUCAUAGACAAUUUGACGGUAACAUGCAAUUUGAAAGAUUCUGUACAAUGGC